GAUGAACGCUGGCGGCGUGCCUAAUACAUGCAAGUCGAACGCUUCACUUCGGCGAAGAGUGGCGAACGGGUGAGUAAUACAUAAGUAACCUGGCAUCUACAGGGGGAUAACUGAUGGAAACGUCAGCUAAGACCGCAUAGGUGUAGAGAUCGCAUGAACUCUAUAUGAAAAGUGCUACGGGACUGGUAGAUGAUGGACUUAUGGCGCAUUAGCUUGUUGGUAGGGUAACGGCCUACCAAGGCGACGAUGCGUAGCCGACCUGAGAGGGUGACCGGCCACACUGGGACUGAGACACGGCCCAGACUCCUACGGGAGGCAGCAGUAGGGAAUUUUCGGCAAUGGGGGAAACCCUGACCGAGCAACGCCGCGUGAAGGAAGAAGUAAUUCGUUAUGUAAACUUCUGUCAUAGAGGAAGAACGGUGGAUAUAGGGAAUGAUAUCCAAGUGACGGUACUCUAUAAGAAAGCCACGGCUAACUACGUG
rnacentral:rRNA from 1 species